GAGUUUGAUCCUGGCUCAGGACGAACGCUGGCGGCGUGCCUAAUACAUGCAAGUCGAGCGAGCUUGCCUAGAUGAUUUUAGUGCUUGCACUAAAUGAAACUAGAUACAAGCGAGCGGCGGACGGGUGAGUAACACGUGGGUAACCUGCCCAAGAGACUGGGAUAACACCUGGAAACAGAUGCUAAUACCGGAUAACAACACUAGACGCAUGUCUAGAGUUUGAAAGAUGGUUCUGCUAUCACUCUUGGAUGGACCUGCGGUGCAUUAGCUAGUUGGUAAGGUAACGGCUUACCAAGGCAAUGAUGCAUAGCCGAGUUGAGAGACUGAUCGGCCACAUUGGGACUGAGACACGGGCCAAACUCCUACGGGAGGCAGCAGUAGGGAAUCUUCCACAAUGGACGAAAGUCUGAUGGAGCAACGCCGCGUGAGUGAAGAAGGGUUUCGGCUCGUAAAGCUCUGUUGGUAGUGAAGAAAGAUAGAGGUAGUAACUGGCCUUUAUUUGACGGUAAUUACUUAGAAAGUCACGGCUAACUACGUGCCAGCAGCCGCGGUAAUACGUAGGUGGCAAGCGUUGUCCGGAUUUAUUGGGCGUAAAGCGAGUGCAGGCGGUUCAAUAAGUCUGAUGUGAAAGCCUUCGGCUCAACCGGAGAAUUGCAUCAGAAACUGUUGAACUUGAGUGCAGAAGAGGAGAGUGGAACUCCAUGUGUAGCGGUGAAAUGCGUAGA
rnacentral:rRNA from 1 species